ACCCCUGGGGGGGGAGAAAAAGGCCCCCCCCAAGGCCAAUGUUAUCCUUUCCCCCCCCCUGGAAGGGGUUAUUCGGCCCCCAUGUGGAAUUGAAAACCCGGCCCCAAGAUUCCCUCCGGGAAGGCCACCAGUAGGGAAUUUUUCCCCAAUGGGACGCAAGUUUUGAUGGAGCAACCCCCGCGUGAAUGAAAAAAGGGUUUCGGCUCGUAAAGCUCUGUUGUUAAAGAAGAACGUGGGUAAGAGUAACUGUUUUACCCAGUGACGGUAUUUAACCAGAAAGCCACGGCUAACUACGUGCCAGCAGCCGCGGUAAUACGUAGGUGGCAAGCGUUAUCCGGAUUUAUUGGGCGUAAAGCGAGCGCAGGCGGUCUUUUUAAGUUCUAAUGUGAAAAGCCUUCGGCUCAACCGAAGAAGUGCAUUGGAAACUGGGAGACUUGAGUGCAGAAGAGGACAGUGGAACUCCAUGUGUAGCGGUGAAAUGCGUAGAUAUAUGGAAGAACACCAGUGGCGAAGGCGGCUGUCUGGUCUGCAACUGACGCUGAGGCUCGAAAGCAUGGGUAGCGAACAGGAUUAGAUACCCUGGUAGUCCAUGCCGUAAACGAUGAUUACUAAGUGUUGGAGGGUUUCCGCCCUUCAGUGCUGCAGCUAACGCAUUAAGUAAUCCGCCUGGGGAGUACGACCGCAAGGUUGAAACUCAAAAGAAUUGACGGGGGCCCGCACAAGCGGUGGAGCAUGUGGUUUAAUUCGAAGCUACGCGAAGAACCUUACCAGGUCUUGACAUCUUCUGACAGUCUAAGAGAUUAGAGGUUCCCUUCGGGGACAGAAUGACAGGUGGUGCAUGGUUGUCGUCAGCUCGUGUCGUGAGAUGUUGGGUUAAGUCCCGCAACGAGCGCAACCCUUAUUACUAGUUGCCAGCAUUAAGUUGGGCACUCUAGUGAGACUGCCGGUGACAAACCGGAGGAAGGUGGGGACGACGUCAAAUCAUCAUGCCCCUUAUGACCUGGGCUACACACGUGCUACAAUGGAUGGUACAACGAGUCGCGAGACCGCGAGGUUAAGCUAAUCUCUUAAAACCAUUCUCAGUUCGGACUGUAGGCUGCAACUCGCCUACACGAAGUCGGAAUCGCUAGUAAUCGCGGAUCAGCAUGCCGCGGUGAAUACGUUCCCGGGCCUUGUACACACCGCCCGUCACACCAUGAGAGUUUGUAACACCCAAAGCCGGUGGGGUAACCUUUUAGGAGCUAGCCGUCUAAGAUGACAGAGUUGGA
rnacentral:rRNA from 1 species